rnacentral:misc_RNA from 1 species
ACAAACUUGGUCAUUUAGAGGAAGUAAAAGUCGUAACAAGGUUUCCGUAGGUGAACCUGCGGAAGGAUCAUUAUUGAAUAAAAUUGGUUGGGUUGUUGCUGGCUUCUGAACUUGUAAGCAUGUGCACACCUGAUCUAUAUUUCUUACCACCUGUGCACUUGUGUAGAACUUGAAACAACUUUCAAGUAAUAACCCUACUUGGAUUGAGAAUUGCUGUGUCAAUUGAAGCCAGCUUUUCUUUAUGUUUCUAGUUCUAGUAUGUUUAUAUAUUCACCAAUAGCAUGUGUCAGACCAAUGUUAAUUGAGCCUCUGUGCUCUUUAAAUUUUCAAAUAUAACUUUCAACAACGGAUCUCUUGGCUCUCGCAUCGAUGAAGAACGCAGC